UCGUCAGGUGGGAUAAUCCUUACCUGUUCCUCUUUUGGAGGACAGAUUAGAAUGUGAUGAUUGGAGAAUGCAUGAAACGUGAUUAACGUCUCUGCGUAAUCUGGGGCUUGCAACACCCUGAUUGCUCCUAUCUGAU
rnacentral:snoRNA from 1 species